ACCGCCCCGGCACCCACCGCCCCUCCCGCCCGCCGCCAUGAGCCCUCGGCUCCACGGCCUCGCCCUCCUCCUCCUCGCGGCCCUGCCAGGGCUGCGGGCGGCCGUGCAGCUGAGCGAGUCCGGAGGGGGCCUCCAGCCGCCCGGCGGCAGCCUCCGCCUCGCCUGCAAGGGAAGCGGCUUCACCUUCAGCAGCUUUGCCAUGGAGUGGGUCCGACAGCCACCCGGGAAGGGGCUUGAGUGGGUCGCGGGUGUUAACACCGGUGGUGAUACAUGGUACGCGGAUGCGGUGCAAGGGCGCUUCACCAUCUCCAGGGACAACGCCCAGAGCACGCUCUACCUGCAGAUGAGCAGCCUCCAGACCGACGACACCGGCACCUACUACUGCGCGAAAGCUGCUGGUGCUUGUGGUUGUUAUGGUUAUUGUGCUGGUUGA